rnacentral:rRNA from 2 species
CAGUCGAGCGGUAACAGGGGAGCUUGCUUCCCGCUGACAAGCGGCGGACGGGUGAGUAAUGCUUAGGAAUCUGCCCUUGAGUGGGGGAUAACCCGGGGAAACCCGGAUUAAUACCGCAUACAUCCUACGGAAAAAAGCAGGGGAUCUUCCGACCUUGCGCUAUUGGAUGAGCCUAAUUCGGAUUAUCUAGAUGGUGGGGUAAAGGCCUACCAAGGUGACGAUCCGUAGCUGGUCUGAAAGGAUGAUCCUCCACAUCGAGACUGACACACGGCCCGAACUCCUACGGGAGGCAGCAGUGUGGAAUAUUGGACAAUGGGGGCAACCCUGAUCCAGCCAUGCCGCGUGUGUGACUAAGGCUUUCGGGUUGUAUAGCACUUUCAGAAAGGAGGAAUACCUUAUAGCUAAUACCCGUGACGCUUGACAUUACCUACACAACAGGCACCGGCUAACUCCGUGCCGCCAGCCGCGGUAAUACGGAAGGUGCAAGCGUUAAUCCUAGUUACUGGGCGCACAGCGCGCGUAUGUGGUUUGAUAAGCGAGAUGUGAAGGCCCCAGGCGUAAUCUGGGAACAGAAUUGCGAACUGUCAGACUAGAGUGUGGUAGAGGAUAUUG